GAUGGGGCAAUAUUCUGGCUCAAGUAAUAAUUGCACUGUCUAAUCAUCUGAUGGCGUCAUCGCCCUACUUGAACCAGAUGCCCUCACCAACUUCCAUGCAAUUGUAACAAUUCAAAAGAUGCAAAAGGAUGCUUUGGAGAUCCACAUUUUGGAACAUAAGUUAAAGGUGGGGGAGGUGCAAACUGGGAUACUGUUCCCUGCUCUAAAAACAUACCCAAUAUAAAUUACUUAAUUUUUUUGGUGCUUUCAGGAAAUAAAGGAAUCCUCAUAAGUAGAUUGUCUAUAUUAGAACACGGGCUGUGGUGGGACAAGUUAUUUUGUUGAACAGUUUACUCAAAGGGUUUUAUUUCAGUGAACAAUGCAGACGAUUAUGCUGAGCAUGUGCAUGUAGAGAAGAACAGCAUCUGGUUAAAAGCAGUACCAGGGUCUUUUCUGCCUUGCAUUCUUAAAAUGAGUUUCUUGACUUGCAGCAGUUAUAGGUCCGUGGUUAGCCAGCUACUCUGAUCAUGGGAAAGCCACAACGUUGAAGUGACUGUAGUACAGAGCGGGUGGGAUGCACGGGGCGGAUCAUUCUGCACAUGCGUUAAUUGCGAUAAAAAAACAAAACUUAAACUUAAAGCAUGCCCCCGGUGCGUUUGACAGUUAACAUGGGGGCUGAGAAGGUGGUCUAAAUAAAUGAUAGAUUGCGCUGAAAAAUGAUAGCGCUCGGGAAGAAAAUUAUCAGGAAAAUAAAUUAUAUCCAACCGGGGUCUUAAUAAUCGUUCCUCACGGAGAUUCCUUCUGAGGAUCGCAGCCUCUACGUCCACAGGCUGUCGUAGAAAAGGACAUGCCAUUUCUAACACUUCCUUCUGUCGGAGAGCUGCCUUCAGCCUUAUCGACAACAAACUCAGAGUAGGUCUAACCACCUCCCGAGCAGGUUAGACCCACGGCGUAUGUUGCCGCAGCAACUAACUCUCGGUUGCGGUGAACCUGCUACCUGAAACGGAAAACCCAGAGUUUCCACUAACUCAGAGCGAACAAACUCGGGGUUGCCUCAAAACCAGCUACCUGAAACAGAGGUCUGUUUCAGGUAGCUGGUUUAACAUACUCUGAGUUUAAUCCUGCGCUCUGAGUUGGUUGACUCAGAGUUCAGGGUUGAAAAGCAACUCUGGGUUUUCGGUUUCAGAACAGGUGAUCAGCGUUGGGUUAAUCAACUCUGAGUAUGUUCACUCUGGGUUGAGGGCGUGCCUGUUGACUAUAAAGAGCCAUCAUCAAUGGAUCUCUGAUAACAUGAUCAAACAUGGAACGAAAGCGUAGAUCCACUUACUUUUCCCCCACGGAAUUGGAAAUUCUAAUGAACGCGUAUGCCGAACAGUUACCCAUUUUAACAAAAAAAAGCAAUUCCGCCGCGGCAGCGAGAGCGCGAGAGAGAGCUUGGCAGUAAAUAGCUGAACAAGUCAAUGCGAACAACCCGAGUUGCCCCAAGAGGACUUGGCAGCAAAUGAAGAUGAAGUACAAAAAUAUAGUUCAAACAGUUACUGAUGGCGUCAUCGCCCCACUUGAACCAGAUGCCCUCACCAACCUCCAUGCAAUUGAAGAUGAUGGAGAAACAUUGUCUGCGGCAUUCGAAAGGGAAGAGGAAAGGCCUAUUGAGGUUAACACCUUUUAAAAAUAACCUCUAAAAGUUGAUGAUAGCGUUGUACAAUUUAAAACUGACAUCUUCUUUCUCUCAAACAGGAUGAAAUCGAAUCCAAUGAGAGGCCAUCCACUUCUAAAUCACAGUUUACCUCUGUAAGAUUCUCCCUGGAAUUAUAAUGAAACGCUCUACUUGGCACUGUGAAAUCCAAUCUCAUCUUUUGCAUUCCUAUAGCUUCCAGUCAAAGACUUAUAUAAAAUCUAUCUAGAAAAGCAAAUACACAAAGCAGACUUGGAAAUGGACCACCUUAGGCAAAAGAUGCAGGAUGCUUUGGAGAUCCAAAUUUUGGAACAUAAGUUAAAGGUGGGUGAGGUGCAAACUGGGAUACUGUUCUCUGCUCUAAAAACAUACCCAAUAUG